CCUUUGUACACACCGCCCGUCGCUACUACCGAUUGAAUGGCUUAGUGAGACCCUCGGAUCGGAGGUGAGGACUGGAAACAGACCUCGUUUUCGAGAAGUUGGUCAAACUUGGUCAUUUAGAGG
rnacentral:rRNA from 1 species